AGAUUGAACGCUGGCGGCAUGCCUUACACAUGCAAGUCGAACGCGAAAGGGGGGGCAACCCCCGAGUAGAGUGGCGAACGGGUGAGUAAUACAUCGGAACGUAUCCAGUAGCGGGGGAUAACCUCUCGAAAGAGAGGCUAAUACCGCAUACGACCUACGGAUGAAAGAGGGGGAUCGCAAGACCUCUCACUAUCGGAGCGGCCGAUGUCGGAUUAGCUAGUUGGCGGGUAACGCCCACAAGGCUACGAUCCGUAGCUGGUCUGAGAGGACGACCAGCCACACUGGAACUGAGACACGGUCCAGACUCCUACGGGAGGCAGCAGUGGGGAAUUUUGGACAAUGGGCGCAAGCCUGAUCCAGCCAUGCCGCGUCGAGUGAAGAAGGCCUUCGGGUUGUAAGCUCGUUUCGGCGUGGACGAAAAGGUCCGUCGUUAACACCACGGAUCCAUGACGUACGAGACAGAAGAAGCACCGGCUAAC
rnacentral:rRNA from 1 species